rnacentral:rRNA from 1 species
CGCAGAUCAGAAUGCUGCGGUGAAUGCGUUCCCGGGUCUUGUACACACCGCCCGUCACACCACGGGAGUUGGAGACGCCCGAAGCCGAUUAUCUAACCUUUUGGAAGAAGUCGUCGAAGGUGGAAUCGAUAACUGGGGUGAAGUCGUAACAAGGUAGCCGUAUCGGAAGGUGCGGCUGGAUCACCUCCUUUCUAAGGAGA